AACGUAGGAGACAAACGUUAUCCGGAGUUACUGGGCGUAAAGGGCGGGUAGGUGGUUGCGUAAGUCUGGCGUGAAAUUUUUCGGCUUAACCGGGAAAGGUCGUCGGAUACUGCGUAGCUAGAGGACGGUAGAGGCGUGUGGAAUUCCGGGUGUAGUGGUGAAAUGCGUAGAGAUCCGGAGGAACACCAGUGGCGAAGGCGACACGCUGGGCCGUACCUGACACUGAUGCGCGACAGCAUGGGGAGCAAGCAGG
rnacentral:rRNA from 1 species